AUCUUAGUUGCCAGCACGCACAGGUGGGCACUUUAAGAUGACUGCCGGUGACAAACCGGAGGAAGGUGGGGAUGACGUCAAAUCAUCAUGCCCCUUAUGGCCUGGGCUACACACGUACUACAAUGGUCGGUACAACGGGAAGCGAAGGAGCGAUCCGGAGCCAAUCCUCAAAAGCCGAUCUCAGUUCGGAUUGCAGGCUGCAACUCGCCUGCAUGAAGUCGGAAUUGCUAGUAAUCGCGGAUCAGCAUGCCGC
rnacentral:rRNA from 1 species